rnacentral:rRNA from 1 species
AACACAUGCAAGUCGCACGGGACUGGGGGCAACUCCAGUUCAGUGGCGGACGGGUGCGUAACACGUAAGCAACAUGUCCAGGGGUGGGGGAUAGCCGGCCCAACGGCCGGGUAAUACCGCAUGCAGUCAUCGACGGCAUUGUUGGUGACNAAAGCCGGGGCAACCUGGCGCCCAUGGAGUGGCUUGCGGCCUAUCAGCUAGUUGGUGAGGUAACGGCUCACCAAGGCUACGACGGGUAGCUGGUCUGAGAGGAUGACCAGCCACAUUGGGACUGANACACGGCCCANACUCCUACGGGAGGCAGCAGUGGGGAAUAUUGCGCAAUGGGCGAAUGCCUGACGCAGCGACACCGCGUGUGGGAUGAAGGUCUUCGGAUCGUAAACCACUGUCAGAGGGGACNAAGGCCCGGCACUAACUAUGACCGGGAUUGACGGUACCCUC